ensembl:lncRNA
GAUUUUUCCCUCUAACGUCUCUUCUUGGACUGUUGUUUAUGCAGGAGAUUGAUGCCUUUGUCCAAUAGUUUCUCUCAGUGGUCCAGAGGCUCUCGUCGUGUAUUUCCACCCUGCAGACACUCUCCAGACAGCCUGUGCCCUCUGCCUUCACCGAACUGAGUGACUUCUGUUACAGCCUUCACCGAACUGCUGCCGAGGGAGCUGGGCUUGGAUGAGCUGCUAAGGCACUGUGAGCGUGUGGUGGAGAAGCUGCGCUACCCUGAGAAUGACUCGUGCUAUCAGACAAUGGCCGGGACGGCCCUCUUCACCCACACAGCUUUCAAUAUGCUGCAGAACUACAGCAGGCCGCUGUGCUGAGGAUGUGAUCCACACGUUAGCUGACACUCUGCUUCCUGGUGAUGCCCAGACCAGGGUAGAGUGGGUGCAGGAUCCGGACAGACUGAAGGAGAACAUCCACUCUGCUGUAGAGCACCCUCAUCAGACCCUCGGAGCAGUCGCCGACUUCGACCACUACUACAACAAAGCCAAUAGCUGGUACAGCAUCGUCCUGUGUGAGAACUUUCUCCAAGACCUUCUG